rnacentral:lncRNA from 1 species
CUCGCCAUUAACUCUCCAGUAUCAUCUACUGUGCUGUCGUUCUCUCACAUGGCCUUUGGUCAUUGGUUCAGACAGGCUAAGAAGACAAAUGGAGAUUUGCAGAAGAAAAUGUCAUAUGGGUUAUCCUGGUAGUCUCCAGAGAAUUAACUGAGUCAUCCACAUUAUUUAGCUCCAUCUCCAUCCUUCAUGUGAUAGGAAACAGAGUUUUGAAGUCGAGGACAUAAGGCAGCAUCACCAAAUGCUCUCCAGGAGAGUUGCUACCUCUGCCAAAGGCAAAAAGGAGAUAGGGAAGCUGCCAUAGCAUCUGUUGGUUCCAGGAAGAAACCACCUUGCCUGUGGCCUGGGGAUAGAAGGAUGACACCUCAUCUAGUUACUUUAUGCAUGGCAGUUCUGCACUAGCAAAAACUCAGAGGCCAACCCCCAGACUGGAGCCUGAAAUGUUGCUACAUAAAACCCAGUGUUUCCAUGACCGAGCUUGCCAGCUGCAACAACAAUAUCAGCAGAAAGAUCGCUUCUGAUCAACUUCUCCUUCCAAAUCUCAUCUUCUCAAGCUGAAAACAGCAAUUUGAGUUUCCCGAGUUCUAACCAUGUAAACCAUGCUGGAUUCAAG